AGGACGAACGCUGGCGGCGUGCUUAACACAUGCAAGUCGAACGGUAAGGCCUUUCGGGGUACACGAGUGGCGAACGGGUGAGUAACACGUGGGUGAUCUGCCCUGCACUUUGGGAUAAGCCUGGGAAACUGGGUCUAAUACCGAAUAUGACCAUGGACUUCACGGUUUGUGGUGGAAAGCUUUUGCGGUGUGGGAUGGGCCCGCGGCCUAUCAGCUUGUUGGUGGGGUAAUGGCCUACCAAGGCGACGACGGGUAGCCGGCCUGAGAGGGUGACCGGCCACACUGGGACUGAGAUACGGCCCAGACUCCUACGGGAGGCAGCAGUGGGGAAUAUUGCACAAUGGGCGCAAGCCUGAUGCAGCGACGCCGCGUGAGGGAUGACGGCCUUCGGGUUGUAAACCUCUUUCAGUAGGACGAAGCGCAAGUGACGGUACCUAUAGAAGAAGGACCGGCAACUACGUGCCAGCAGCCGC
rnacentral:rRNA from 1 species